rnacentral:lncRNA from 1 species
AAAACCCAGAACCCACGAAAUUGAGUUCUUUCCUUAAAGUUACAAAGCUGAAUGCGACCCAGACCCCGGGCCUCCCCUCUCUGUACACCGCCCGGAAGCUUCGCCACACUGUCCUUGCCUUCCCACUCUGUCCUCCUGGCUUCCCUGCAAGGAGUGUUACGGCUUGCCUAUGAUGUAUGAGGCCCUAGUUUCCAUUCCUAUCGCCAAGAAAGAGAAGAGACUGGUCCAGAGGACUCGAGGCCCAGUUCCCUAUGUCCAUGGACCUGUCCCCUAGUGCCCAGGGAUGGAAUGGUUGUAAGAAGGUGCAAGAGGAAGCUUCAUUUUAGGUGACCCUGCCUCCAGCACUGGGAAGCAAAUCCAGGUGCCUGUGCAUGGCUAGCCUACAGCCUCAGGACCACCUUUGACUACCAUCAACCAAAUAUGCAUGCCUGGGAGGCCCCUGGCUCACUGUCCCGGGCCCUGCCCCUUGCUUCCUCAGUCCUGAUGCUGCUGCUGAGCUGUCUGUGGUUAUUGGGGGCUGGCCCCAGCCUCAGAUUGGCUCCAGAGCUGCUAAUGGAACCCUGGCAGGUGCACAGGCUGCUGACCCAUGCUCUGGGCCACACUGCACUGCCAGGCCUGCUCCUGAGCCUGCUGCUUCUGCCCACUCUGGGCUGGUGGCAGGAGUGCCAUCUGGGCACUGUGCGCUUCCUGCACAACUCCACUGUGCUUGCCCUGGCUACUGGGCUGCUGGCUGUGCUGCUGGCGGGCCUUGGGGUGUCCGGUGCGGCUGGAGGCUGUGGCUAUAUGCCUGUCCAUCUAGCUAUGCUGGCUGGACAGAGUCACCACCCUGGAUGGCCUCAGAGGACACUGCCACCAUGGCUGCUACCAUGGCUGCUGCUGGCCCUGACCCUGCUGCUCAGCUCUGAGCCACCCUUCCUGCAGCUCCUUUGUGGCCUUCUCACUGGCCUAGCCUGUAGAUGCUGCUGGGGCCUUCCAGUGGCUGGAGCUCUCAGAGCAGAGACUGCAGGUGUUACAGGAAGGUGUCCUUUGCAAGUCUCUGGCCCGAUGCUGGCCGCUGAGGCUCUUUCCCACCCCGGGCAGUCUGGGUGAGCUGCCUGUCACUUAUCCUGCUGGAGUGAGGCCUGCCACCCCUAGACCUCCUUACCUGGCUUCCUCAGACUCCUGGCCUCACAGUGAUGGCUCUGCUCAGCUCCCACCACGCCUGGGGCCUGGACAGCUGACAUGGAAGAACUCGGAGAGGGGCUUGGACUGGGCUGGGUCUAGCUUUGCUUCAGCAACGACGAUGUGGGCAGCCCUAGACGAGCAGAUGCUACAGGAAGGGAUCCAGGCCUCCCUUCUUGAUGUGUCAGUUCAGGGUUCCCAGAGCUCUCUGUGGUUGCCAAAGCCCUCUGUGUCUUCUCUAAGGCUGCAGCAGCUACAGCACAUGGGAUUCCCCACUGAGCAGGCUGCAGUGGCCUUGGCAGCUACAGGGCGUGUAGAGGGGGCAGUGUCACUGCUGGUGGAAGGGCUAGUGGACACUGAGGCCCUAGUGACUGAGGGAAGGAGUAGCCCUGCCCACUGCACAGGCACUGGGGCCUCAUAGUCCUUUCCUUGUCUGCUGAGGGCUUGGUGCGGUCUUGACUGCAUCCCUGGGGUAGGACUAGGCCCCAACAUGUUUCCCUGGUACUUUGUAAGAAUAAAAGCUGAUUUGUUUUUCAACCUGGUC